AGAGUUUGAUCCUGGCUCAGGACGAACGCUGGCGGCGUGCUUAACACAUGCAAGUCGAGCGGUAAGGCCUUUCGGGGUACACGAGCGGCGAACGGGUGAGUAACACGUGGGUGAUCUGCCCUGCACUUCGGGAUAAGCCUGGGAAACUGGGUCUAAUACCGGAUAUGACCUCCUAUCGCAUGGUGGGUGGUGGAAAGAUUUAUCGGUGCAGGAUGGGCCCGCGGCCUAUCAGCAUGUUGGUGGGGUAAUGGCCUACCAAGGCGACGACGGGUAGCCGACCUGAGAGGGUGACCGGCCACACUGGGACUGAGACACGGCCCAGACUCCUACGGGAGGCAGCAGUGGGGAAUAUUGCACAAUGGGCGAAAGCCUGAUGCAGCGACGCCGCGUGAGGGAUGACGGCCUUCGGGUUGUAAACCUCUUUCAGCAGGGACGAAGCGCAAGUGACGGUACCUGCAGAAGAAGCACCGGCUAACUACGUGCCAGCAGCCGCGGUAAUACGUAGGGUGCAAGCGUUGUCCGGAAUUACUGGGCGUAAAGAGUUCGUAGCGGUUGUCGAGUCCUUUGUGAAAACC
rnacentral:rRNA from 1 species